AUAAAGGCUGAAAAAAAAAAAAUCAAAAAGUAAAUAAUGGGGUCUACAUGUAUUAAAUGUUCACUCAAAUCAAAGAUAGAAGAUAAACAAGGUUCACUCAAAUCUAAGAGAGAGAAGAUGAACAAAGUUCUGGGUUUCUUUUCCUCUUGUUCAAAGGAGAAAGAAAUUAACUUUCAAAUCAUUUUUUCUUCUUCUUCUUUCUUAAAAAAUUGGAUGAAGAUAUGAAUGAUUCUCCUUAAAGCUUCUUCUGCGAUUUUUAUCUAUUUAUGAUUUUCAGGUACGAAUUUUUUUUCGUCUUUCUUGAACUUUUUAAUACUAUCAACACAAUUAAAUUAACAAAAACAUAUUACAUAUAUAUAUAUUUGACAAUAGAUCUCUAUGGAUCUUCUUGCUUUGCAUGUCACUUGUAAUGUCAAAAUACAAAAAAAAAAUUGUUGCAUUGAUUUUUAAUGCUUCAAAUAUCAAAAAUUAAGAUCUGCACCGAAGAUCAAAUUGAAUUUUCUUCAAAUAUCUGUUUGUUUGAUUGUUGACUCUGCAUGCAAGCUUCAGAUUGUGAAUUCAGAUUUUGAGUCAAAAAUUGAGGAAAAAUAUUGGAUGAAUCUCCAAUAUUAAAUUUGGAUGCAAUAUUUCUUGAAAUUACCAAUACUAAUAUCUUAUAUUGGCAGGAACUUUCUACCAAGCAUGAAGAUCAUUUAUGACAACAAUGAAUGAUACAUAGAUAAUUGUGUCACACAAUUUUGAGCAUUUUGCACAAGAUAAUGCAAUAUUUUGCUUUCAAGAUGUGUAUAAAAUAUAUUUAUCUAUAUGUAUAAUGAGGAUUAUUAAUAAACAACUUCUCAUUCUAUUUAAAAUUUUAGUAAGAAAAUAUUAUUGUACAAAUAUAAAGAAUAUUGAGAACAAAGAGAGUAAAAGAAAUAAGUUCAUAGAUCUAUAUAUUUUGUAACUUUACUUGAACAAAAUUUGAACGUCUCUAGAGAGUAAAAGAUCAACAAUGGUGUAUUUUUGAUUUAGAGCAACAAUGAUGUAUUUUUGUUUUAGAGCUUUUACUUUGUUUGGUUUAGAUAUGAAAGGCAAAGAUCUUAAUUAAGGAAGGAAAAUAGUACUCUCUUUCCCUCCAUUUUUAUUGUACUAUAUAAAAGUUUAUUUUUAUUUUUAUUUUAUUUCAUUUGCAAAAUACACAUAUUGGCCCACAGUCCACAUGUCAAAAAAUGGAUGGAGCCUCUCCCAUGGUAAAUUUUUUCAAGUCAAAGCUAUAUUGGUGUGUCUGCAUGAUCAAUUUUAGGUACCAAUGUUAUCACAGUGCUAUUCAAGGCGCAAAAACAUCUGCCCAGUAUUGAAAAAGUUCCAUUACCUCUACUUUAUAAGUUCUUCAUUCCUUUACAAAAGGCCAACAAUCCUUGAUGAAUUGAAGAAAACAUAAUUUACUCUAUUAUGCAAUAAAUUAGGCUUCUUUACAACCUUUGUUGAUAGAAAUAAUAUAGAUGCAUUUAUUCACGUACCUAGAAGAUGAUGAGAUGUUGCACUCGUAUCUUAUUUGUUGACUUUGCAUGCCCUUAUACUCUAUAUUAAUGCAUGCUCAAUUGUAUAACUAACUUGGAAGAGUCUCCACAAAUAUUUCUACGACCAACCAAUGUCUGGAAGGCCAAUAUUCAAAUCAGUCUCCAUCCUGCUACACUUAUCCUUUUCUGUCAGUUGGGCUGGUCGUGUUAGGUCAACCGGUAGUUCUAAUGCUGCUGGUCUUACUCCUCCACACUAGCAACAUCAUGAUUUUAUAAGAAUUGUCAACAAAAACACAUGUAACUGAAGAGUUUAUGUUUGAUGGUGAAAGAAAUAUUUACAUAAUAACUCGUCUUCAAUGUGGAGAAUCAACCCAUCCCCAACAAGAUGAAAGUUCAG
rnacentral:lncRNA from 1 species